ACGGGUGAGUAUGCUUACGAAUCUUCCUACUACCUCUGACAACGUUCCCUAAGGACGACUGCUACCCCAUACCUCCUACGGUAUAAAGCCGCGACCUUUGGACCUUGACUAAUAGUUGAUCCCAAUUCGGAUUAGCUCCCUGGUAGGGUAAAUGCUUGGUAGGGAGACGACUUACCCCGGCUCUUACGGGAAGAUCCGCCGAGUGCCUAGUGAGACUCGGCCGGAACUCCUACUGGAGGCAGCCUUGGGGAAUAGUGGACAAUGGGGGGAACCCUGAUCCAGCCAUGCCCCGUGUGGGAAGAACGCCUUUUGGAUGUAAAGCGCUGUAUUCUAGUAAGAGCUACCUGGAUGAAUACUUUAGGAUAGUGGACGUUACUCCCAGAAUUGCUCGGCCUUACUCAUUGCCAACAGCCGCUGUAAUUCAGACGGCGCGCGCGUACGUCGGAUUUACUGGGCAUCCCUAGUGCUAGGGCGUCCAAUUACGCCAAAUUUGAUUUCUUCUUUCUUAACUUGGGAAUUGCACUCCAUAUUGGUUGGCUAGAGUAUGAGAUAGAUCAUAGAAUUCCCAGUGUAGGGGGUGAAAUGAGUAGAGAUCUGGAGGAGUACUGAUGGCGUAGGCAGUUAUCUGGCAUAAUAGUGGCGGUGAGGUAGGAAAGCGUGGGGAACAAACUUGAUAGAUAUCCUGCUCGUCCAUCCUGUAAUAUAUGUGUAGUAGUCGGGCGGGCCCUUGACGGAUCAGAGGCGCCGAUAACGCGAUAAGUAGGCCGCGGGGGAGUGUAGUGUAAAGAUUAAAAAUAAAAGAAUUGACGGGGGCCCGCACAAGAGGUAUUUCAUUUUGUUUAUUUCGAAGCAACCGGAAGAACCUUUUCAACCCUGACAAACAGCGAACUUUCCAAAGAUGGAUCCUCUCCUUCGGGAGAUACGAUGCAGGUGCUGCAUUGCUUUUGUCAGCUCGUGUUGUUAGAUGUUGGGUUAAGUCCCGCAACGAGCGCAACCCUUUUCCUUUCCGCCAGCACUUCUGGUGGGAACUUUAAGGAUACUGCCAGUGACAAACGGGAGGAAGGGGG
rnacentral:rRNA from 1 species